rnacentral:rRNA from 1 species
AACGAACGCUGGCGGCGUGGAUAAGACAUGCAAGUCGAACGAGGAAUUUCGCCGAAGCUUGCUUCAUUGAAAUUCCUAGUGGCGGACGGGUGCGUAACACGUGAGCAACCUGCCCUGAAGAGUGGGAUAGCCUGAGGAAACUCGGAUUAAUACCACAUGUGAUCGUCUCAAGCAUUUGAGAUUGCUUAAAGGUGGCCUUUGUGCUGCCGCUUCAGGAUGGGCUCGCGGUUUAUCAGCUUGAUGGUGAGGUAAAGGCUCACCAUGGCUACGACGAAUAACUGAUCUGAGAGGAUGAUCAGUCACACUGGAACUGAGACACGGUCCAGACACCUACGGGUGGCAGCAGUCGAGAAUCAUUCGCAAUGGGCGAAAGCCUGACGGUGCGACGCCGCGUGGAGGAUGACGGCCCUCGGGUUGUAAACUCCUGUCAUCAGAGAGUAAGACUGCGGGUAGUAACUGACUCGCAGGUUGAUAGUAUCUGAAGAGGAAGAGACGGCUAACUCUGUGCCAGCCGCCGCCGUAACAC